rnacentral:rRNA from 1 species
UGCGGCAGGCCUAACACCUGCAAGUCGAACCGUAACAGGAAGAAGCUUGCUUCUUUGCUGACGAGUGGCGGACGGGUGAGUAAUGUCUGGGAAACUGCCUGAUGGAGGGGGAUAACUACUGGAAACGGUAGCUAAUACCGCAUAACGUCGCAAGACCAAAGAGGGGGACCUUCGGGCCUCUUGCCAUCGGAUGUGCCCAGAUGGGAUUAGCUAGUAGGUGGGGUAACGGCUCACCUAGGCGACGAUCCCUAGCUGGUCUGAGAGGAUGACCAGCCACACUGGAACUGAGACACGGUCCAGACUCCUACGGGAGGCAGCAGUGGGGAAUAUUGCACAAUGGGCGCAAGCCUGAUGCAGCCAUGCCGCGUGUAUGAAGAAGGCCUUCGGGUUGUAAAGUACUUUCAGCGGGGAGGAAGGGAGUAAAGUUAAUACCUUUGCUCAUUGACGUUA